UAGAUAGAUAGAUAGAUGAUAGAUAGAUAGAUAGAUAGAUAGAUAGAUAGAUAGAUAGAAUUAGAAAAUAUCUUUAUGUAGUACAUGAUUAAAUGCUUUGGCAUAUCUAGGACUUGUAAAACAUACAACUUAUGUCAUAAUUUUAUUGGAGCCACACUGCUACAAUAUUUAACAGUUUAUAUCUCCAUAUAUAUAUUUAUUUACUUCUGCAGUGAGUGCAGUGCAUACAUUCCAGGGGGUUUCAGUAGAUUUGAUGGCCUUCUGGAAUCUACCUUCUUUUCAGCCUUCAUCCACCCCAGCUCUCAAAGUCCUCUGUUGGUGCUAGCCUUCCUUCCUGGGCCUAUGGUCACUUGUGGGUACUAGCCUCCCUUCCUGUCCCCAUGGUGCCCUGUUAGUGCUAGCCGCCCCUUGCUAUCCCUAUGGUCCCCUGUUGUACUGGCCACCCUUCCUGUCCCCAUGGUCACUUGUUGGUGCUGCUGGACUCCACUGUAGUCCCAACAUGGACCCCUGUUGGUGCUGGCCUUCCAUCCUUCCCAAUGGUCCCCUGUUGGUGCUGGACUCUCUUUCUCUCCCCAUAGUCCUUUGUUGGUACUUGGCAUCCCUCUAACCCCCAUGGUCCUAAGUUGGUGCUGGCCUCCCCUCCUUCCCUGUUGGUGCUGGACUCUCCUCUAGUCUGGAUGGUAUAUUGCCAGUUGCCAGUGCUGGCCUCCUUUCCUGUCACCAUGGAUGAAGCUGUCUUUCCCUUCAGGCCCAGUGGUCCCAUGUUCUAACCUUCCUUUGAGCCCCAAUACUAUCCUAUUGAUGCUGAUCUUCCCUCCAAAAGUCAUAGUCCCUUGUUGGUGCUGGGCCUUUUGGUGUCCCCGUGGUCCCCUGUUGGUGCUGCCCCAACCAUGGUUCCCUGUUGAUACUGACCUUUCCUUCACCCCCCCCCCCCCACUGUACCCUGUUGGUCUUGGACGUUUUAUCCUCUCCCCAUAAUCCAUUGUUGGUGCUGCACCCCUCACCCCCAACCCCAUGACACCCUACUCAAGCUGCUUGCUUGACUGUGGAGGACACAUGUUUAACCCCUAAGGUGUCAGGAUGCUAUGUGCUACCCUGGGAUGGGUAAACUCAUUGCUUGGCACUACUAUGUGCUACCCUGGGAUGGGUAAACUCAUUGCCUGGCACUACUAUGCGCUACCCUGACAUGGGUAAAGUCAUUGCUUGGCACUACUGUGUAAAACCCUGGGAUGGGUAAAGUCAUUGCUUGGCACUACUGUGCGCUACCCUUGGUUGGACAAACUCAUUGCUUGGCACUACUGUGUGCUACACUUGGUUGGACAAACUCAUUGUAUGGCACACUGUGUGCUACACUUGGAUGGGGAAAUCCAUUGCUUGCCACUACUGUGUGCUACACUUGGAUGGGGAAAUCCAUUGCUUGCCACUACUAUGUGCUACACUUGGAUGGGGAAAUCCAUUGCUUGCCACUACUGUGUGCUACACUUGGAUGGCGAAAUCCAUUGGCUGCCACUACUAUGUGCUACCCUGGGAUGGGUAAAGUCAUUGCUUGGCACUACUGUGUAAAACCCUGGGAUGGGUAAAGGCAUUGCCUGGCACUACUGUGUGCUAUCCUGGGAUGGGAAAACUCAUUGCUUGGCACUACUGUGUGCUACCCUGGGAUGGACAAACUCAUUGCUUGGCACUACUGUGUGCUACACUUGGAUGGGGAAAUCCAUUGCUUGGCACUACUGUGUGCUACCCUGGGAUGGGAAAACGAAUUGCUUGGCACUACUGUGUGCUGCCCUGGCCUGGCACAUUUUUAAAAUGUGCAAUGGCUAUUACAAUGGGUGGGGGCGGGGGUGAGACUGAGUAGUGUAAUAUAUAACAACCAGCAUACAAUUUGUGAUCAUAGGGCAUUGUUGAUGACCUGAUACUUUCUUGUGAUCUAUUUGUUUUUUUGUUCUCCAUAAAAUAAAAUGUAUAACAAAAGAAAUGCUGGUGAUAAUUAUUUCAUUCCACCUCUAUGUGUCUGUUGCUGUCGUUCUGAUGCCCCUUGCAAUCUUUUCGUCUGGAGCACACCUGAAAAUAUAGUGCCGGCACCGACAAAGAGGAGAUCACCGAAGGCUCUCAUAGGACCCCACUGUUCCCUGGGGGGGCCCCUCUGCGAUGUGCAGCGCACCGCCCGACGCCCCGCACACUAUGCCGCCUGCUGAGGCUGUAGCGCUGCUGGCUCCCGUACAGGACAACGAGGAGACCCCUCUACGGGCGCAACCACACCGAUCACACGAAUGAUCAACAAUUCAAAAAUGAAAGAAUUCUAUCAGAUCCUCCGAAUAUUUCCAGAUCUGAUCCUCUCCCCAAAUCUUUAUAAAAUGAAGAAAACGAAAAAUGUCACAAAUGAGACGAAUUUCUUUGAUUAUUACCAAUUUCCCUUUCUCUAUCAUUCCAAUCCUCCAAACUCGCUCCGUAUUUACCAAACGAAUGUUUUUAAUUCUUGUUGCAUUUACAAUGUUUCGUUUUAGUUACUGAUAGCGUUUGAAACCUAAAAAUCAAGCUAUCGACUUAUUCUUCUUGCUUUUUUUUUUCGUUACAUAGGAAAACAUUUCGUUGAAAUUAAAUGUAAAUUAAAUGCUGUAAUAAAAAAAAAAAAAAAUAGCAGAAUGUAUAAUUUUUUUCUUGUAAAUUCGUACAUAGGUCGAUGUUUUAUUCGUUAUUAGGUGACUGGAGGAGUGCAGGAAUUAAAAGGAGUCAUUAAUGACAUUUCUCAGUCAAAUCUCAUUGUGUUGCAGUGACAUGGAAGGGAAAUUGGCGGUUCUGGGGGAACUCAAUGAGAAGGCAACAAGCUUCUGCUCACCUCCCUGUUCUAUCAAUCAUUAACUUCAUAUCUGCAAUACUUUUCUCUCCCUCUUUUUUUUUUAAACGUAUGCAAAACUAUUUCGUUCUGUCUGCAUGGGAAAGAGAAAUAAAUUAUAAGAAAAGCAAA